UGGGGAAUUUUGGACAAUGGGCGAAAGCCUGAUCCAGCAAUGCCGCGUGUGUGAAGAAGGCCUUCGGGUUGUAAAGCACUUUUGUCCGGAAAGAAAUCCUUGGCUCUAAUACAGUCGGGGGAUGACGGUACCGGAAGAAUAAGCACCGGCUAACUACGUGCCAGCAGCCGCGGUAAUACGUAGGGUGCAAGCGUUAAUCGGAAUUACUGGGCGUAAAGCGUGCGCAGGCGGUUUGCUAAGACCGAUGUGAAAUCCCCGGGCUCAACCUGGGAACUGCAUUGGUGACUGGCAGGCUAGAGUAUGGCAGAGGGGGGUAGAAUUCCACGUGUAGCAGUGAAAUGCGUAGAGAUGUGGAGGAAUACCGAUGGCGAAGGCAGCCCCCUGGGCCAAAUACUGACGCUCAUGCACGAAAGGCGUGGGGAGCAAACAGGAUUAGAUACCCUGGUAGUCCACGCCCUAAACGAUGUCAACUAGUUGUUGGGGAUUCAUUUCCUUAGUAACGUAGCUAACGCGUGAAGUUGACCGCCUGGGG
rnacentral:rRNA from 1 species